UACGAAGGGAGCUAGCGUUGUUCGGAAUUACUGGGCGUAAAGGGCGCGUAGGCGGCUAUGUAAGUCAGAUGUGAAAGCCCUGGGCUUAACCCAGGAACUGCAUAUGAUACUGCAUGGCUAGAGAUCGAGAGAGGAAAGUGGAAUUACGAGUGUAGAAGUGAAAUUCGUAGAUAUUCGCAAGAACACCAGUGGCGAAGGCGGCUCACUGGCCCGGUACUGACGCUGAGGUGCGAAAGCGUGGGGAGCAAACAGG
rnacentral:rRNA from 1 species